rnacentral:rRNA from 1 species
UAUGUGAUCGUCUCUCGCAUAUCAAUAAGCGGAGGAAAAGAAACUAACAAGGAUUCCCCUAGUAACGGCGAGUGAAGCGGGAAGAGCUCAAAUUUGAAAUCUUAAAGGGUUUCCCUUUACGAAUUGUAGUUUAAAGAAGUGUUUUCUGUUGAGGUUUUGGUAAAAGUUCUUUGGAAUAGGACAUCAUAGAGGGUGAGAAUCCCGUAUUUGACCUUUACUUUCAACUUUGUGAUACACUUUCAAAGAGUCGGAUUGUUUGGGAAUGCAGUCCAAAAUGGGUGGUAAAUUUCAUCUAAAGCUAAAUAUUGGCGAGAGACCGAUAGCGAACAAGUACCGUGAGGGAAAGAUGAAAAGAACUUUGAAAAGAGAGUUAAACAGUACGUGAAAUUGUCAAAAGGGAAGCGUUUGACACCAGUGUUGUUUUUCUGAAAAUCAAUUAAAGAACUGUUUAUGCUAAGCUUGUUUAGACUUUAUCAGCUAACUGUUUAGUUUUGAGCUUUUCUUUAAUGCACUUUUCAGUUAACAAGUCAACAUCAAUUUCUUUUGCUGUAAAAAAGCUUGAGGAAGGUGGCUUGAGAUUCGUCUUAAGUGUUUAUAGCCUCUUGCCUAUGCAGUCGGAGAGAUUGAGGUCUGCAGCGUAGAUCCUUCGGGGCUAAAUGCAUUUGUGCUAAGUUAUAGCAUUUUAUAGACAACUUGUUGACUAUGAUUUGUCUUGUAGCUUACUCGCUUAUGUUAUUUUACCUACGCUUAGGAUGUUGAUCUGUAGUGCGUGCGC